AUAAUACACACACAAACUGAAAUUGAUUUUUAAAAUCAAAAGUUCUGGUUUUCAUCAGGGAGUGAUGAUCAAUUUGGCUAAUAUUCUGAGUAGAAAGCUCAUAAUUGUAGAGUGCAUUUUCUUCUACACCUGUGUUACGAAAUUGUCUGAGUGCUUCCAAGUCAGGAACUGAGUCUUACAGAAUCAAUAGUCAGAAGACUCGGAACAAGAAAUCUUUUAUAUGGCAGGUGUAGAGGAGUUCAGCCAUAGUGGAUGCCCUUUUCACCACUUCGACAUACAAGGAGGCUGUAUCGAAGGGAAGAAGGUCAUCAUAGGGAAAUAAUCAAAGCGCUCUCUCUUGGGAUUUAUACACUUAAGAGGCAGCAAAGUUCAAUCCUCGUGAUCAACCUUCUUCACAUUUUGCAACUAAUCACUGCUAAUAGAUUACUUAGGUUUAAACUUUUGUAGUUUUAUUGGCACGUUAAUUCCAUUUAGGUUUGAUUUGCAAGAUUACUCAG